AGAGCACAGGGCCAGUGUGCGACAAGUCAGAAGGGGCGACACCUGCAGCGUCGUCGUCUCCUGGAUGAAAGGCCUCAGCGUCAGCCUGAGAUGGAGGGCACGGGCAGGUGUCGCUCUGCUGGGGAGGCUGGGCCUGGGGAAGAGCUGCCCAUAGAAGUCUGUGUGCCCUGUGUCAUCCCGGCUGACGCCUUCCUGGCUGAUGUCAGCCGUGGAGCUCCUGAACCCAGUUAUGCCACCGCUGCCCAUCUCGGGCACAGAAGGAAGAGGUCACGCAGCGUGCGCAAAGUCUCUGAGGUGUGGAAGACCUUGCAUUGGUGAUGUGGCAGGAGAAGGCUGUGUGAAGAGGGUGGAGGAGGUGACAUUGUGAGUCUCAGCAGAUGUGAAGAUGCGGGCAGGAGCCAGGUCAUGGCGGC